rnacentral:rRNA from 1 species
UACGUAGGGUGCGAGCGUUAAUCGGAAUUACUGGGCGUAAAGCGUGCGCAGGCGGUUUUGUAAGCCAGAUGUGAAAUCCCCGGGCUCAACCUGGGAAUGGCAUUUGGGACUGCAAGGCUGGAGUACGGCAGAGGAGACUGGAAUUCCUGGUGUAGCAGUGAAAUGCGCAGAUAUCAGGAGGAACACCGGUGGCGAAGGCGGGUCUCUGGGCCGAUACUGACACUGAGGAGCGAAAGCGUGGGGAGCGAACAGG